rnacentral:rRNA from 1 species
GACGAACGCUGGCGGCGUGCCUAAUACAUGCAAGUCGAGCGCAGGAAAUCAUCCGAACCCUUCGGGGGGACGUUGAUGGAAUGAGCGGCGGACGGGUGAGUAACACGUAAAGAACCUGCCCUCAGGUCUGGGAUAACCACGAGAAAUCGGGGCUAAUACCGGAUGGGUCAUCGGACCGCAUGGUCCGAGGAUGAAAGGCGCUUCGGCGUCGCCUGGGGAUGGCUUUGCGGUGCAUUAGCUAGUUGGUGGGGUAAAGGCCCACCAAGGCGACGAGGCAUAGCCGACCUGAGGGGGUGAUCGGCCACACUGGGACUUCGACACGGCCCAGACUCCUACGGGAGGCAGCAGUAGGGAAUCUUCCACAAUGGACGAAGGUCUGAUGGAGCAACGCCGCGUGAACGAUGAAGGCCUUCGGGUCGUAAAGUUCUGUUGUAAGGGAAGAACAAGUGCCGCAGGCAAUGGCGGCACCUUGACGGUACCUUGCGAGAAAGCCACGGCUAACUACGUGCCAGCCGCCGCGGUAA